UGGGUGCGGGAACCUGCCCCCGGGGCGCCCGGACGCCUGGGCCCCUGGACUGCGGGUGCGGGAACCUCCCUGAACCACAGCGUGUGGGGACAGGGCAGUUUGGGGACAAUCUGGGGAGGUUCGGGGACAGUCGGGGCUGAUUUGGGGACAGUUGGGGACAUCCCAGGGCAGGUUGGGGACAAUCCGGGGAGCUUUGGGGACAAUCUGGGGAGGUUCAGGGACAGCUGGGCCUGGUUGAGGGCCACCAGAGGCCGAGGGAGCCGCUGGGGCCAGGUGGCCGAGGGGACGCGGGGCGGAAGGGUGGUGGGGACACGGUGACACGGUGACGCGGUGACGCGGGGACUCACUGGCCGACGCUGUGGCCGUCGUAGGUGGAGUCGUUGAGGACGACGGGCGCCGGGUGCAGGGCCAUCACCUGCCCCUCCGGCGCCGUGUAGGACAGCAGCCCCGCUGGGGACGGCGGCGCGUCACCCCGGGGUGACAGGCACGCGGUGACGCGCACUGACACGCGGCGACGACACCACCCCAGGGACAACCGGCGAGCUCGGGGCUCAGCCCCACCGUCGGCGCGGAGAUGGGACGCGGACAUGGAGGGGGACAUGGACGUGGACAUGGAGGUGGACAUGGAUGUGGUGGUGGACGUGGACAUGGACAUGGACGUGGAGGUGGACAUGGAGGUAGACGUGGAGGUGGACGUGGACGUGGACAUGGAUGUGGAGGUGGACACGGAGGUGGACAUGGAGGUGGACAUGGAGGUAGACGUGGACAUGGACAAGGACAUUGGAGGUGGAGGUGGACAUGGAGGUGGACGUGGACAUGGAGAUGGACAUGGAGGUGGACAUGGAGGUAGACGUGGAGGUGGACGUGGACGUGGACAUUGGAGGUGGACGUGGAGGUGGACAUGGAGGUGGACGUGGACAUGGAGGUGGACAUGGACGUGGAGGUGGACGUGGAGGUGGACACGGGACACCGGGGGGGACGCGGGGACACUCACGGCGCCAGGGACAGCCGUAGAGCUCGAGGCGCAGGCAGACGCUCAUGACGCGGUCGGCGCGCGGGUAGAUCCGCAGCGCCCGGGCCACCACGGCCGGCGCCAGGUCCUUCAGCACCACCGCCUCCGGGUCCUCGUUGCCCGCGAUCACCUGCGGCCCCCCGUCAGCUCCCCCUGCCCGGAUCCCCUCCGGAUCCCCCGGGAAGCCCGAGGGAUCCCAGGGACCCUGGGAUCCCCCCCCAGAUCCCCAGCGAUCCCCCAGCACCCCCAGCGAUCCCAGCACCCCGGGGAUCCUUGGAGACCCCCAAGGUCCCUUAACGGGUCCCAGAGCCCCUGGGAUCCCCCCCAGAUCCCCAACGAUCCCUGGGAUCUCCCAGUGCCCCCAGUGAUCCAGGUGUCCCCAGGGAUCCUUGGAGACCCCCACAGCCCCAUAACAGGUCCUAGAGCCCCUGAGAUCCCUCCCAGAUCCCCAACGAUCCCAGAGCCCCCAGCGAUCCUUGGAGACCCCCAAGGUCCCUUAACGGGUCCCAGAGCCCCUGGGAUCCCCCCCCAGAUCCCCAGCGAUCCCCGGGAUCUCCCAGCACCCCCCAGUGAUCCUGGUGCCCCUGGGGAUCCUUGGAGACCCCCAAGGUCCCUUAACGGGUCCCAGAGCCCCUGGGAUCCCCCCAGAUCCCCAACGAUCCCCGGGAUCUCCCAGCACCCCCAGCGAUCCCCCAGGAUCCCUCGAGGACUCCCAGUGUGUCCCCCCAUGUCCCCAGUGGCCGCCCAUGUCCCCAACACGUCCCCAAGGUCCCCAAUGCAUCAUGUCCCCACCAGGCCCUCGUGUCCCCAAACGUCCCCAACAUCCCAUGUCUCCAGUGUGUCCCCACCGCGUCCCCAUGUCCCCAAGGUGUCCCCAAGGUGUCCCAAAGGCAUCUCCAAGGUCCCCAAGGUCCCUCUGUGUCCCCAAUGCACCCCAUGUCCCCACCAUCUCCUCACGUCCCCAAUAUGUCCCCAACAUCCCAUAUCUUCAAUGGGUUCCCAUCAUGUCCCCAUGUCCCCAAGGUGUUCCCAAGGUCCCCAAGGUGUCCCCAAGGUGUCCCCGAGGUCCCCGGUCACCUCGACGCCCCAGCGGUCGCGCCAGCGGAGCCAGCGGCGCCGGUCGCGGCUGUAGCGCAGGCGGUAGGCCCGGGCGAACUCCUUGCCGUGGCCGCCGGCGUGACGUCCCUGCGUCGCCACCAAGGUCACCACGUGGAGGUGGCCCAGGUCCACCUCGAGGAACUCGGCCUCGUCCGGGUACACGGGGCCCGCGGGGCACCAGGCGCCGUCGCCGUCGCUGCGGCCCAGCCUGGGGACAGCGAGGGGACGUCGAGGGGACGCCCGGGGGCCACCAGGUGCCACCUCCAUUGCAGGGACAUCGGGAUAUUGAGGGGAUGUGGGGACAUGGGGACAUCAAGGGGGCAUGGGGACACCCAGGGACAUGGGGACACCCGGGACACGGGGACACCCAGGGGACAUGGAGCUCAUGGCCACCAGGUGCCAUCUCCAUCGUGACAUCGUGGGGACAUCGGGAUAUUGAGGGGAUGUGGGGACAUGGGGACAUCAAGGGGACAUGGGGACACCCAGGGGUAGAGGGACACCCGGGACAUGGGGACACCUGGGACACGGGUGGCCGGGGCUGUGGGAUGGGGACACCGGGAAGAGGCAGGGGA
rnacentral:lncRNA from 1 species